GAUGAACGCUGGCGGCGUGCCUAAUACAUGCAAGUCGAGCGAACAGACGAGGAGCUUGCUCCUUCGACGUUAGCGGCGGACGGGUGAGUAACACGUAGGUAACCUACCUAUAAGACUGGGAUAACUUCGGGAAACCGGAGCUAAUACCGGAUAAUAUUUCGAACCGCAUGGUUCGAUAGUGAAAGAUGGCUUUGCUAUCACUUAUAGAUGGACCUGCGCCGUAUUAGCUAGUUGGUAAGGUAACGGCUUACCAAGGCAACGAUACGUAGCCGACCUGAGAGGGUGAUCGGCCACACUGGAACUGAGACACGGUCCAGACUCCUACGGGAGGCAGCAGUAGGGAAUCUUCCGCAAUGGGCGAAAGCCUGACGGAGCAACGCCGCGUGAGUGAUGAAGGUCUUCGGAUCGUAAAACUCUGUUAUUAGGGAUGAACAAACGUGUAAGUAACUGUGCACGUCUUGACGGUACCUAAUCAGAAAGCCACGGCUAACUACGUG
rnacentral:rRNA from 1 species